AAAGAACUUGUGCAAGUGACUCCUGAGACAAGUGCUCUUUGAGUCAUCUGUGUUCUUCCCUUUUAGUUUCUUUCUUUAAAACUUUGUCUGGGAUUUUGAGGUGAUUUUUUGAGCCACUCUAUUGGACACAGCUUGUGCUUAUCCUCUGGUGCCAUCUGCUGCUGACUGAUCCAGGUGACCAUCUGUAAGCAAAGCCCAGACUCUGGCAUACCUCCUGGCAAGAUGUCAUUGUUCAAGUUUUCCAAAGAAUUGAGGUCCUCAUGCUUCUCCAGAUGAUCUCAUGCAAGGGCCUGAAGUUUGCUUCUCAUUAUCAAUCUCAAUGGUGCCAAGAUGCUUGGAGACAAAGAUGCUUUAUGGUGCUGGCAUAUGUGAGGACAGAAGCAUCAGACUGAGUAUGAAGGGACCACAGGACCUUUCUGUGGACAGCUUCUGCCCUAAGCAUUACCCAACGUGGCUGGAGGUGCUGAGCCUCAAUGGGAUCAUCAAUGAGCAAGGGGCCUUGGGAAUGUCACUUUGGGAAUGGAGGGGAUACAUUGGCACUUCAGGAGCAUCCAGGCAUGGAUAGUUUGUGAUAGUCUAGUCUGCAUUGCAAGGAUGUAGAGACAAGAACUAAGCUGGAUCCCUGAUGGCUCUCCCAACAUAGCAUCCAGCUCCCCACAUCUCUGGUUUCCCUCUGUAGGCUGGAAUGAGUGACCUCCAAGUAUCUCAGAGGUCUCACCAUCUAUAGGUGUUCUGCUUUUCUGGAUGAUUCCAGCUUCACAAGGCCUGGAGAACUGAGUUUCCCCUUCCCAAAGAGCAGAACCACAGCUCCAUACUUGUUGAUUCCUCAUCAUGGAUGUGUACCACAGGCUGGUCAGAGGGCUGGAAUGGUGCUCUGCCAUCUCCAGCAGAGGAACCAUGCCCAAUGAAGCUCCAUGCUCCAGAGUCACUUUCAAAAGACAUUUUUCUAAUGAUGGAACUAAGUUUAAUGCUUGCUCUUCAAUUUUUAUAACAGGCUUGUUGUCUGUUUAGAAAUGCUCUGUAGUUUUUAAAGAAGAGGCAACUAUAUGUCAUCCUGGGACACAUCAACUCUAGAGCUCUCAGAUCCAAAAUCAAGAAUUAGUCUUCAGUCACAUCUCUAAUCUCUCAGUGUCUCUAUAGUCUCCUUGGUAUGUGAGGGCACCUUCUUGGAACUAAUGUGUCUCAUGAAGGAGCACUUCUAUGAAAACCAACAAUUUCUUUACCCUACUUUAGCUGCUCUUUCUGACCAUCCCAUUUAAGUAAAAUUAAACUUAUUAUGAACUCUUUUUGAGUUUAGGCAUGAUGCUCAUGUUCUGUACCAUCUUUGCUUUCUAUGUCAGUAAAAACAUGCAAAUUCAAAAUAAAUGAAAUAAUAACAAAAUAAAAUUUUGCUGUUUCAAUUUUGUUUCUUAUGUAGAAGAAAUUUCUAUUACUGUGCUGUUUUCAUACCUCAGAAAUCUUUGCCAACCCCAGACAUAGGUCCCCAGGACAGAAUCAUCCAUAGUACCCAGAGUUAGAGAUUUAACUCUUCUUUCCUCAGCAGUAAAAUGAGUACAUGAGGUCUUCUAGCAGGAGGAAAUAUUGGGUGUCAGGAUGCUUAUGAU
ensembl:lincRNA